CAACGAUGCAUAGCCGACCUGAGAGGGUGAUCGCCCACACUGGAACUGAGACACGGUCCAGACUCCUACGGGAGGCAGCAGUAGGGAAUCUUCCGCAAUGGGCGAAAGCCUGACGGAGCAACGCCGCGUGAGUGAUGAAGGUCUUCGGAUCGUAAAACUCUGUUAUUAGGGAAGAACAUAUGUGUAAGUAACUGUGCACAUCUUGACGGUACCUAAUCAGAAAGCCACGGCUAACUACGUGCCAGCAGCCGCGGUAAUACGUAGGUGGCAAGCGUUAUCCGGAAUUAUUGGGCGUAAAGCGCGCGUAGGCGGUUUUUUAAGUCUGAUGUGAAAGCCCACGGCUCAACCGUGGAGGGUCAUUGGAAACUGGAAAACUUGAGUGCAGAAGAGGAAAGUGGAAUUCCAUGUGUAGCGGUGAAAUGCGCAGAGAUAUGGAGGAACACCAGUGGCGAAGGCGACUUUCUGGUCUGUAACUGACGCUGAUGUGCGAAAGCGUGGGGAUCAAACAGGAUUAGAUACCCUGGUAGUCCACGCCGUAAACGAUGAGUGCUAAGUGUUAGGGGGUUUCCGCCCCUUAGUGCUGCAGCUAACGCAUUAAGCACUCCGCCUGGGGAGUACGACCGCAAGGUUGAAACUCAAAGGAAUUGACGGC
rnacentral:rRNA from 1 species